GUGAGAAUGUUGGCAUGAGUAGCGAGAUGUGGGUGAGAAUCCCACAGGCCGUAAACCCAAGGUUUCCAGGGGAAGGUUCGUCCGCCCUGGGGUAGUCGGGACCUAAGCUGAGGCCGAAAGGCGUAGGGGAUGGACAACAGGUUGAUAUUCCUGUACUACCGAUAACCGUUUGAGAGAAGGGAUGACACAGUAGGAUAAGCUAAGCACACGGUUGGUUAUGUGUGCCCAAGCAUUGAGGCAGUCAAAGUAGGCAAA
rnacentral:rRNA from 1 species